rnacentral:lncRNA from 10 species
GAGACAGAGUCUCGCUCUGUCGCUCAGGCGGGUGCGAUCUCAGCUCACUGUAACCUCCGCCUCCUGGGUUCAAGCAGUUAUCCUGCCUCAGCCUCCCCAGCAGCUAAGACUACAGGUGCAUGCCACCACGCCCGGCUAAUUUUUGUAUUUUUAGUAGAGAUGGGGUUUCACCAUAUUGGCCAGGCUGGUCUUGAACUCCUGACCUCGUGAUCCACCCGCCUCGGCCUCCCAAAAUGCUGGGAUUACAGGCAUGAACCACUGUGCCUGGGCCUAAUUAUUACUUUUUACUAAAAGUUAGUCACAGGUACAUUUCUCUACUUAUUUGUAUGAAUUACUAUUGUUAUCUUAACAGACUGAGAUCCAUGUAGUUCCUAAUUCUAACCUAGUUCAUUCACUCAAUAUUUAUAUAACUUACAUGUCAGACUGCUUUCCUCUCUAAACACUUCCCCUUAACACUUAACACUUUCCACCUUUCCUUGCUCAAGUGUGCUGGAAAUCCCUACGGAGAAGAGGCACCAAUCAUGGUCUCAGCUAUAAAAGCUUUGAGCACACAAUGGACACAAAAAAUAUGUGAACAAAUGAAUGAGAUGGUUGCAAUCCGUGGUUUAUGGAGUCCAGACUUUACAACAGGUAACAUGUCAUAUAGUAGUGCUUUUGGCCUGGCGUGGUGGCUCACGCCUGUAAUCCCAGCACGUUGGGAGGAUGAGGCAGGCGGAUCACCUGAGGUCAGGAGUUCGAGACCAGGCUGGCCAACAAGGUGAAACCCCGUCUCUACUAAAAACACAUAAAUUAGCUGGGCGUGGUGGCAGGUGCCUGUAAUCCCAGCUACUUGAGAGGCUAAGGCAUGAGAAUCACUUGAACCCAGGAGGCGGAGGUUGCAGUGAGCCGAGAUGGUGCCACUACACUCCAGCCUGGGAGAGUGCUAAGCACAAGUUACUUCCAAAUCUCUACUACCAGUUUCACCUCUUUCCUAACUAAUUUAAAUGUUUGCUGAACAUUUCCACUUGCAUAUCCUAUUAGCACUUAACACUUAACGUUUUCCAGUUUGAAAUAUUAUCUCUUUAAAUCCAGCCACCUUGCAAAAUUGACUUCAUCUCCUGCCAUUCCAAUUUCAGUUUUAAUUUAAAACAUCUCAAAUCUUCCAGUGUUCCCAACAUACGAAGUUCUAAAUGAUCUGACUCAUUCCUCCCCAUCUUUUCCCAUAUCCAACUAUAUGCUAAGUCAUACCAAUUCAUAUCAAUUCCUCCUCCACAGUAACACAUCACUCUUCCUUCUCAAUGCCCUCAUUACCUUUCACCUAACUAUUGUUAAUAGCCUAACACUAACAGGUAUUGACUCACUUUCCCCUAAUUCAGACAAUUAAUCUCUGUAAAACACAAUUAUUAUUUAACAGCACACAGUUGCCUACAGAAAUAGGACCCAAACUCCUUAGCCUCGUAUUAAAAACCAUUCAAUAUCUAGCAGCAUCCUGUUUUUCCCAUUAUCUCCUGCUGUUCCCAUACACGUAUCAUAUGUGCCAGUCAGACUGGACUUUUCCCAAAAUGUAUUGUGCUUUUCCAUUGCCCCUCCUUCAUUUAUCCCAUAUUCUCCAACCCACAACUAUUGAUCUCACUGUCUUUAUUAAAUUCCUACUCUUUCAAGAAACCUAGUUUAAAUGUCAGCUCCUUUGUGAAGUUUUCCAUGAUCGUCUCAUAUUGAAUGCAAUCCCUCAUCAAAACUUCCAUGGUAUUGAUUUGAAUUUCUCUAAUGGCAUUAAUAUAUUUCUGACUCACACUAUAGUUACUUCUGUAAACAAUUCUUUUUUUUUUUUGGAGACAAGGUAAAUGGCCACAAAAUUUAAUAAAUGCCUUCUGAUAAGCAUAACAAUUUCUAUCAUACACACCCUAACUCAAAAUUAUGUCACCCGAAGAUGAUUCUCUUCAAUGUUCUGGAAGUUAAAUAUCGACCAACAAAGUCACUUUAUAGGACAGUGGGGAAAUAUGUCAAAACUUCACACACAUCUUCUACGAGUCAGUAAAAAAGAUGAAAAAGUGGUAACUGCAGGUGGUAAAACUUCGACAGGAUCAGCAUAUACUUGACAGGAAAUGCAGCAUCUCA